CCUACGGGAGGCAGCAGUGGGGAAUAUUGCACAAUGGGCGCAAGCCUGAUGCAGCCAUGCCGCGUGUGUGAAGAAGGCCUUCGGGUUGUAAAGCACUUUCAGCGGGGAGGAAGGCGGUGAGGUUAAUAACCUCAUCGAUUGACGUUACCCGCAGAAGAAGCACCGGCUAACUCCGUGCCAGCAGCCGCGGUAAUACGGAGGGUGCAAGCGUUAAUCGGAAUUACUGGGCGUAAAGCGCACGCAGGCGGUCUGUCAAGUCGGAUGUGAAAUCCCCGGGCUCAACCUGGGAACUUCAUUCGAAACUGGCAGGCUAGAGUCGUGUAGAGGGGGGUAGAAUUCCAGGUGUAGCCGUGAAAUGCGUAGAGAUCUGGAGGAAUACCGGUGGCGAAGGCGGCCCCCUGGACAAAGACUGACGCUCAGGUGCGAAAGCGUGGGGAGCAAACAGGAUUAGAUACCCCGGUAGUC
rnacentral:rRNA from 1 species